rnacentral:misc_RNA from 1 species
GAAGUAACAAGGUUUCCGUAGGUGAACCUGCGGAAGGAUCAUUGCCGAGUUCCUCCUGCGUACCCUGCAGGAACCCCCUACCCUUUGAUUACUAUAUGCGUUGCUUCGGCGAGACGCUGGAAACAGCCAUUGACCUCUCACGUCGAUGCGUGCUCGCCGGAGUUUCAUACUCUACAUUAUGUGUCGUCAGGGAAUCAAAAAUCUAAAAAA